GGAAGGAUCAUUAACACUGAUACCUUGAUUAACCCAAACGUGAACAAAUCCGUGGAGGUAAAUGUUAGUGCCCGUUAAGUUGAUAAGACACAAGUGACAGCAUUGAGUAGGGGUAAAACCCUAUUCGUCUUAUCAGCAAGGACCAAAUGUGUCGCCAGGCUCCUAACUGUAACGAGAUAUACACCAAUACGGAUAUGCAUAUAUGUCAUAUAUGUAUAUGUAAUGCAGUGCCCUAUACGAUGGGAUAUAUACAUUAACACAUGUAAAAGGUGCGUCCCUAUACAUGCGGUUUGUAUAUAUAACAUCUAUAUGUGAGUAUGCAUUUUACAUAUACACAAUAGGCAUAUAUGUGUAUCAGCAUGUGUAUGUCCACACUUUUAGACUCCUGGAAGACAGUAUUGGUCGGGGCCACACAUUAAGCCUUCGUUAACCAUCUCUGCUGCCCAAAAAACCUAUAUUAACCCUAAUAUAUGGAAUACAUAUAUGUUUAUAUAUAUGUAUGUAUAUGUGUAGUGUCACAUAUACAUGCCUAUAUAUACUAUAUAUACGUAUCUCAUAUGAUGUAUAUGGCAUGUUUAUAUAUAUAUGCUUAUGUAUAUAUGUAUAUGUACAUCAACACAUGUAAAAGGUGCGUCCCUAUACAUGCGGUUUGUAUAUAUAUGUAUAUAGAUACUGGAUAUAUAUAUAUACUACAUGGCAUAUAUAUAACUGUUAUGACAAUACAUUAGAACCUUCGCUUAGCCGUAAAAAGCUAAUAGAAGUAAAAAUUAUAAACAACUCUUAACAAUGGAUGUCUCGGCUCUCAUAUCGAUGAAGAACGCAGCGAACUGCGAUACGUAAUGCGAAUUGCAGAAUUCAGUGAAUCAUCGAAUCUUUGAACGCAACUGGCGCUCUUGGGAUAUUCCUAAGAGCAUACUUCUCUGAGUAUCGAAUCCACUCUCUCUCGGCUGCGUGUCGUUUAUACAUAGCUGUGUGUGAGUUCCUAGUGUGGAACCCUACGUACGUGUGUAUAAAAACCACGCUUGGGAGGAAUUGAGCGUUUCUGGCUGGCUUAGUGUAGCUGGGCAGUCGCUUUAAGUAUGAAGCCUCGAACUCUUAAUGCAUUUAUGGCUUUUAAGUUAACACAUAUUCUUGUCACGUACAAUAUAGUAUAUACAUUAGUGUAUGUAUAUACUAUAUUGGAAAACAUUGUGUAUGUGGUAGGUUAAUAGCCAUUUAAAUGCAAUAAGUAGUCAAGUUGGACUUGAUACGCUCAAAUCACAACUUGUCCUGGAUGAUGUUAGAUAGUUUGUUUCGGCUGUAUGGUGCGCCCAGCUGUCCGGGAUAAAAUUUCUGAACAUCGACGGGGCAAGGUGAUGUAUCUCGUUUGAUGAUGGGGAUAAUAUAUUCAUUCGGUGUCUGGUAGAGGGUACGGCAUUGUGUAAUGCGAUUGCUGGACCUAUAAACCUACGAAAGACCUGAAAGCGGUUAUGCGUCGUCAUAGCCAAUAAACCUAUGAAAAAUCGAUCUCAGAUGAAGUAGGACUACCCGCUGAAUUUAAGCAUAUUAUUAAGCGGAGGAAAAGAAACUAACUAGGAUUCCCUUAGUAACGGCGAGUGAACAGGGAAAAGCUCAACCUGAGAAUCGGUGUGCCUAACGGUACAUCGAAUUGUGGGGUUGGGACGCUUUCUCAGCGUGUGACCUGGGUAUAAGUCCUUUGGAAAAAGGCAUCAUAGAGGGUGAGAAUCCCGUCUUUGACCCGGAGUUUGCCGCGUACGAGAGGCGUUCUUAGAGUCGAAUAGCUUGGGAAUGCUGUUCUAAGCAGGAGGUAAAUUCCUUCUAAAGCUAAAUAUUGAUGAGAGACCGAUAGCGAACAAGUACCGCGAGGGAAAGAUGAAAAGAACUUUGAAAAGAGAGUUAAAAAGUACCUGAAAUUGUUAAGAGAGAAGCACUGGAAACCAGUAAGGUUUGGGCCGAUAUUUACCGUUUGCUAUUGAAGAACAGUUUGCUGGGACUUAAUCGCCUGGUGGAUUGUUGGACAGUAGUAAGCGGCGCCUGUCGGUUUGAAUAAGCCAUGAUCGGUUAGGCGGCAUAGCAGAAAGCUAGUGGGGAGGUGCAUAAACUUCGGUUUAUGUUUUAACCCAUUAGUCUUUAUACUAUGCUACUGAUCGAGGUUCGAGACCGCUCGCCCGUAGGGCUGCAUGACUUGCUUUUGCUUUGCCUGCGUGUCCAGCAGAGAACAAAGUUCUUUCUGGCACUGCCUUGGGCGGUACAAAGUAGGUUCCAUGACAUGAGUUGAGUCGAGAUCAUGGCGAAAUGGUUUUCAUUGACCCGUCUUGAAACACGGACCAAGGAGUCUAACAUAUAUGCGAGUGUUUGGGUGCAAAACCCUAACGCGUAAUGAAAGUAAAGGUAGCCCUUGUGGCUGCUUAGGUAGGAAUCUCCCGGAAACGGGUAGAGGCACUAUCGACCGAUCUCUCGCUUGCGAAAGAUUUGAGUAAGAGCAUAUCUGUUGGGACCCGAAAGAUGGUGAACUAUGCCUGAACAGGGCGAAGCCAGGGGAAACUCUGGUGGAGGCUCGUAGCGAUACUGACGUGCAAAUCGUUCGUCUGAUUUGGGUAUAGGGGCGAAAGACUAAUCGAACCAUUUAGUAGCUGGUUCCCUC
rnacentral:misc_RNA from 1 species